GUCACACAGGACAGAAUCUCCCAAAGAGAUGCCUGAAUCAUCCACCCGUUCACCACAUACAUACAGUUUGUGCCCUGGUUGUCAGGAAGGCUCUAUUGAUCCGGGCAACUAAUGCCUAAUCCACCAUGGAAGCCAUAGCCAUUUGGUGAACUUGAUCAGCCUACCUAAAGUAGGAGUUAAGUGAGAAGAGGUGCACAUUUGGUGGAGGGAUCCUUUCAUGAUGCCAAUUUAAGAAGAUGAAGUCGUCCUUGCACUUGUCAUCACGUUUGUUGUUAUGCAUAAUUUGGCUUACACAUCUGUGUAACAUCAGCCAACACACCACUUUUGCAAUAUACUAAAACAAUUUUACUUCACUUUUGCAAUGAUAUGUCAACACACCACUUAAACAUGGAAUCUUUUAUAUAUUUGUUGUGCAAUUAAUUAAUCACUAUGUUUGUAUGGUUCGACUAUAGCUUUUGAAUUGCAUUAAGACAUUGUUUUGAAAUCAAUAUUCCAUAAUAUAAUAUAUCAUUAUGAUA